rnacentral:rRNA from 1 species
UACGAAGGGGGCUAGCGUUGCUCGGAAUCACUGGGCGUAAAGCGCACGUAGGCGGAUCUUUAAGUCAGGGGUGAAAUCCUGGAGCUCAACUCCAGAACUGCCUUUGAUACUGGGGAUCUCGAGUCCGGAAGAGGUAAGUGGAACUCCGAGUGUAGAGGUGAAAUUCGUAGAUAUUCGCAAGAACAUCAGUGGCGAAGGCGGCUCACUGGCCCGGUACUGACGCUGAGGUGCGAAAGCGUGGGGAGCAAACAGG